rnacentral:rRNA from 1 species
AUUGAACGCUGGCGGCAUGCCUUACACAUGCAAGUCGAACGGUAACAGGUUAAGCUGACGAGUGGCGAACGGGUGAGUAAUGUAUCGGAACGUGCCCAGUCGUGGGGGAUAACUGCUCGGAAGAGCAGCUAAUACCGCAUACGACCUGAGGGUGAAAGCGGGGGGUCGCAAGACCUCGCGCGAUUGGAGCGGCCGAUAUCAGAUUAGGUAGUUGGUGAGGUAAAGGCUCAUCAAGCCGACGAUCUGUAGCUGGUCUGAGAGGACGACCAGCCACACUGGGACUGAGACACGGCCCAGACUCCUACGGGAGUCAGCAGUGGGGAAUUUUGGACAAUGGGCGCAAGCCUGAUCCAGCCAUGCCGCGUGCGGGAAGAAGGCCUUCGGGUUGUAAACCGCUUUUGUCAGGGAAGAAAAGGUUCUGGCUAAUACCUGGGACUCAUGACGGUACCUGAAGAAUAAGCACCGGCUAACUACGUGCCAGCAGCCGCCGUAAGAC